UUAUUGCUUAACAAAUGUCACAACCACUCCACCAUGUCGCCCUUAUCCUUUAGCUCAUUAGAUAUUUGGGGUAUUUAAAUGAUAUUUUAGGUGAUUUGGGGAUCCAUACCGGAACUUUAGUUGUACAUGGUUUUUAGGUUUGGGCGUUAGUUGAGGUUUGUUGAUAAUAAAAAGUUUAUGUACAAAUUAACUUAAUAAAUUUUAAUUACAAUCAUAGUAGUAUUAUAAAAAAAAAAGUAAAUUAUAAAAAUGAUCUCUGUGAUAUGGUAUAAUAGACAUAGUGAUAUGGUAUAAUAGACAUAUAAAGUUCAAUUUAAAAAAAUGACAAACUCGGUCUUUAUGUUUUGUAUUUAUUUUAGAAAAUGGUUCUUUUACCGUUAAAUCUAACCGCUAAGGCGUUAUUUUUUCCAAAAAUGAUAAGUUUGACAUUGAACAAACAUGACAAGUAUUAUAUACUCAGGGGACCAUUUAUGUAAUUUUUCCCCAUUAAACCUAACCCCCACCCUUGCCCGUUUUCUCCACUCCAUUAGUCUAUCUUCAUAUUUUUGAUUUCUUCCCCAACAUCACCAAACCUUCACCAAGCCCUAUUAUUAGCAUUCUACAUAUCCUAUGUUGUCUCACUUGUCCAUCUUCAUCUCCUCCGAUUCAAUUUGGGUGAGCCGUCGUCACGCCUUAAUCUGAUAUUUGUAAAGGUAUAGGAAAUCGUUUCAACUUUCGACUGGGUGUCCUUCUCUUUGUGGUGUCCAUUACCAUCGGUGGUUUACUAAGUCAACAGUAGAACAUAAAUCUAGAUAAGUAGAGAUUCAUUAUAGAAGAAUCAAGAACAUAAAAGUUAAGAUGCUUACAACUUGUCGCCUUCAAACAUGUUAUAAGUUCUUCAUUUCAUUCCUUCUAACGAGUUUUACUAGAAAAUCUACAGCGUCUCUCAGCAUACACUUAUAAACGGUGCUAACCGAAUCAUGUGCCGACAUCAAUAAAAGUUCGAACAAGUGAGAGAGAGGCAAUAACAAAUGCUUGCAACAUAAAUCUUUGAGCACCGAAUGUUUAUAAAGGAAGAUAAGAUGCUUACAAGUUACAACUACAACAACUGCUUGCAACAUAAAUCUUAGUUCACCUAAAUCUCUGCUUGCAAAUUACUCAUAAAAUUUAGAGGAUAUGCCAUAUGUGUUUUGUGAAGAUAUUUUUUAGAGAUUGGGAUUCACGAUUGAUCAUAAA